rnacentral:tRNA from 1 species
GAAAUAAUUAAAUUGAGCUUCUAACUCAAAUAUAAUAGAUAAUUCUAUUUUAUUUCU